AGAUAAUUAUUAUAAAUCUCUAAAGAGAAUUAUUCAUAAACAAAUAAUGAUCCAAAAUAUCAAAAUUAUAAUACCAUUAAAUCAAAAUAUACAAUAUUGUUCUCCGAUUCAAGAUUUAGCACAUAACUUUGUAUAAUAUAUAUGAAAAUAAAAGAUUCCUAAAACAUUUGAAAUUUCAGCAACAAUCAACCAAUACUCUUAUGUAAAGUCUUCGCUGGUUUCAUCUACCCUUUAUUCAUUUACUCCAUCUACAAAAGAUGAUAAAUAAAAAAUUUUAACAUUCAAGUCCUAGUUGGAAAUACCAUCAUCAGUUACCUAGCAAAUUUGAAGCUCAUGAAAGGUGAUACGAAGUGCAGAUUUGGUUGCUUUUCAAGAGAAGACCCAAAGCUAAAGUUGACAUUAACAACUAAUUGUUAGUUUAGACAUUAAAAGUAACUCAACCAUGCUUGUGAGAAAUACCAUAAGAAAAUAAACUAAACUUGAGAAAUACUAUAAUGAACAACACGCAGGUGAAAUCCCUCAAACAGCUUGCUAGAAUCAAAUUCAUAAGUUAGGAUUAUAAUUUGUCAAAGUAAGUUUAUUUUUAAAUAUUUCAAAUCUAGCUAUUUAAGCAACUAUGCAAUAGAAUAUUCGACGAAGAUGCUAACUACAAUAAGUGAAACAAACUUGAUUGUUAUCUAAAAAAUAUUUAUAGUUAUAGCUAUUCAAAUUGACAGAAAUUUCAAGUUUGAGAUAUGCAUAGAAGAUCUACAUAACAAAAGAGACCCAUACAACAUCAAGCCACUAAAAAGCCAAGCCUAAGUAAUAAGAAGAGCUAAAUGAUAUAAAACAUAAAUAGAACAAGGUAAUACAUAAGCAACAAACAUAAAACACCAAACUGAUGAGACAACUUACGAUAUAUCAAGGAUUAGCCAGCAUGAGAAAUGAACUUCGAUAAUAAGAGAUUAUUGUGCCUGAACAUGAAAAGUCAAUGAGUUGGUGAGGCUAGAUUACAAGGGGUUUAACGAAAGUCAAAUGCUACUUCAACCUGUUUCAAUGCUAACACCAGAGGGGUUUGAUGGAUGAUAAAGUGCUUUGGAGUUUUUUUAGCUCUAUCUUAACAUUCCUAGCUAGACUGAUCUCAUAUACAGCUAUUAAAGAAACUUUUGCCAAAAUUCUUUCAAUGAUAUUUAACAAGAAAGAUUCUGCCAUGAAUGAUAAGAUCAAGACUUGCCUUCUCGGAGUCAACAUCCCUUUGGAAAGUGGUGCAAGUAUUGAUAAAGGAUCGUGGCACCAAAAGCUAGUAAAGCCAACAUUUUGGACCUACUAUUGUAUUUUUGCAACUACACACUUCCCUGAAAUAAGAAAGCUUGAACGUGAUAUAAGAAUAAUAAAAAACAAUUCUUGAUUGAUCAAUCUAAUGAUAGGAGACUAUCUAGUAGCUCAAUAUAUAAAAUGAAAUGGAUGAAUAAUAUCUAUAGAAACUUUAUCAACCAAAUAUGGAAAAAAAAUGCGCAUCUUCUUUUUUCUUUUACAAAUCAAGUAUCAUAAAAAAGAACCUUCUUUUAAUUGCUACAACCAUUGAGCGUAGGUUUAAUAGAAUCAUUAUAAUCUGUUACUCCUUUUAUCAAAACAGCAUACUGAUCCUUUGAGUGUCAUCUACUACAAGGAUAAAAGGGAACAAAUCAAUGUAGUAAAUCUCAGCUAAUUGGUUAUCUAAAAUAUCAAAAGAAAAUACUUAAAUAAAUACACACAAACACUAGUGACAGAUCCAACAAUAGGGUCGUGGGUUCAGAAGAACCCGUGCUUCAACGUAUAUGAACAAAGAGCCCUUGGUAAGAAAACUACAUAUAUGAACAAACUAAUGAUUUAUCUAUGAACCCUUAACGAUAUCUAAACAGGAUUCUAGUAAAUUAUUGAAAAACUAAUAAUUUAAAGCUAGAGCUAUAUAUUUCUCAACCCCCAAGCACAAUGAUAGCCCAAUAAUUAAAGUUGAGCCUCUUAUAAAUAGGGAUAGCAAAUGGUGAACACUUAAUAUUUCUACAUGGUGGGCUAUGCUUGAUCCCAAGACCAAGAAGCUAUUAUUUGAUUUGCUUAUAAAUAUUAU
rnacentral:lncRNA from 1 species